AUACGGAGGGUGCAAGCGUUACUCGGAAUUACUGGGCGUAAAGCGCGCGCAGGCGGGCUGAUAAGUUGGAUGUGAAAGCCUACGGCUCAACCGUAGAACUGCAUCCAAAACUGUCAGUCUAGAGUCUGGGAGGGGAAGAUGGAAUUAGUUGUGUAGGGGUAAAAUCCGUAGAGAUAACUAGGAAUACCAAAAGCGAAGGCGAUCUUCUGGAACAGUACUGACGCUGAGGCGCGAAAGCGUGGGGAGCAAACAGGAUUAGAAACCCUAGUAGUCC
rnacentral:rRNA from 1 species